rnacentral:rRNA from 1 species
CUAUGCGCCUUGCCAGCCCGCUCAGUCAGAGUUUGAUCCUGGCUCAGGACGAACGCUGGCGGCGUGCUUAACACAUGCAAGUCGAACGGUAAGGCCCUUCGGGGUACACGAGUGGCGAACGGGUGAGUAACACGUGGGUAAUCUGCCCUGCACAUCGGGAUAAGCCUGGGAAACUGGGUCUAAUACCGAAUAGGACCACAGAACACAUGUCCUGUGGUGGAAAGCUUUUGCGGUGUGGGAUGGGCCCGCGGCCUAUCAGCUUGUUGGUGGGUGAUGGCCACCAAGGCGACGACGGGUAGCCGGCCUGAGAGGGUGUCCGGCCACACUGGGACUGAGAUACGGCCCAG